UGCGUAGGCGGUACGUUAAGUCAGUGGUGAAAUCUCUCGGCUCAACCGGGAAACUGCCAUUGAUACUGUUAAUCUUGAGUUCGGUUGAGGUAGGCGGAAUGUGUAAUGUAGCGGUGAAAUGCUUAGAUAUUACACAGAACACCAAUUGCGUAGGCAGCUUACUAGACCGACACUGACGCUGAGGCACGAAAGCGUGGGUAGCGAACAGGAUUAGAUACCCUGGUAGUCC
rnacentral:rRNA from 1 species